rnacentral:rRNA from 1 species
UGUACCUACGGGGGGCAGCAGUGAGGAAUAUUGGUCAAUGGGCGGAAGCCUGAACCAGCCAAGUCGCGUGAGGGAUUAAGGCCCUAUGGGUCGUAAACCUCUUUUGUCAGGGAGCAAGGCCUCUCACGUGUGGGAGGUUGGAGAGUACCUGAAGAAAAAGCAUCGGCUAACUCCGUGCCAGCAGCCGCGGUAAUACGGAGGAUGCGAGCGUUAUCCGGAUUUAUUGGGUUUAAAGGGUGCGCAGGCGGUCUGUUAAGUCAGCGGUCAAAGCCCGGGGCUCAACCCCGGCCCGCCGCUGAAACUGG